rnacentral:rRNA from 1 species
UACCUGCAGCUCAAGUGGUGAUCGUUAUUAUUGGGCCUAAAACGUUCGUAGCCGGUUUAUUAAAUGCCUGGGUAAAUCGGGCCGCUUAACGGUUCGACUUCCGGGUAGACUGAUAAACUUGAGACCGGGAGAGGUUAGAGGUACUCCUGGGGUAGAGGUGAAAUUCUGUAAUCCUAGGGGGACCACCAGUGGCGAAGGCGUCUAACUAGAACGGGUCUGACGGUGAGGGACGAAGCCCUGGGGCGCAAACCGGAUUAGAUACCCGGGUAGUCCAGGGUGUAAACGCUGCUUGCUUGAUGUUAGUCGGGCUCCGAGCCCGAUUAGUGUCGGAGAGAAGUUGUUAAGCAAGCUGCCUGGGAAGUACGGUCGCAAGACUGAAACUUAAAGGAAUUGGCGGGGAGCACAGCAACGGGUGGAGCGUGCGGUUU